CUCUCCUGUCCUGUCCCACGUCUCUGCGCCACUGGAUAAGACCCCAUUUCUGAACGCUGUAAACCAAAGCUUACAACUUCUGUCUUAUUUAUCGGUCAGUUGGCCAGAAUGUCUCACACUGUCAUUCCUGUGAACUCUUCAACGCUCAUCAUCCAGUUUCAGCCAGCAACACAAACAGCUCCUGAUACGAUGGUGACCAAUGCUCCUGUGCCUGUUUAUGUACAACAGGUGGCGGGAGCUUCACCUCUUCAAGGACUUCAGGCAUUUCUGAAAGGACAACCGAAAGCCCUCGGGAAGGUCCAGAUGAUGAUCGGUGUGCUGACUGUCCUGUCUGGCAUUGUGUCUUCAGUUUAUGGAGAAUCCUUCUUUGUCUAUAGUGGUUUUCAUUACUGGGGAUCUCUCAUCUACAUCAUCACAGGCUUAUCAUCACUAUGCAUUGCUGCAGAAAUUAAAAGGAAUUCACCCUCCAGUUUGUGUUUGGUGAAAGCUUCACUUGGAAUGAACAUUUUCUGUAUUAUAACUGCAGGCAUUGCCAUUAUUUUACUUUCACUGGAUUUUUUUAUAUGGCCACGCAAUUACUGCUAUGAAGAUGACAUGAUCUUGUGUUAUCAUUUCACGAGAAACCAUGAGGGAACGAGACGCUGCGUAGCUACCAAGCUAAAGUGCUGUCAUAUCUGUCCCGAUGAAGAACCAGAUAGUAUCUAUGGCUGGUUCAAGCGGACAAGACCCGGGAAGUCAAGAUAUAAAAUAUUGAAAACAUAGAACCUGAUAAAAGUGUGCGGAGAGGACCAUCCUGCCGCUACACAAAUAUCCUCCAGGGGGACUCCUCUAAAAAGAGCCUGAGAGGAAGCCACACUCCUGGUGGAAAGUGCCCGAAUCCUGAAAGGUGAAGAAAGACCAUGCACCUCGUAAGCAAGCGAAAUAGCUUCCCUGACCCAAUGAGAAAUUCUGUGCUUCGAUGCGGUGAGCCCACAGCAGCCAGCACCAAAGCAUACUAACAGCUGGGGAGAUUUUCUCCAACGGCUAGAACAGUCCACAUAGAACUUCAAAGCUUGGACAGGGCAGAGCAUGUGAAGUCUCUCAUCCUCGCCUGAAGCAAAUGGAGGAGGAUGGAAAGAGUGAAGAGUGACCACCUGAGAGCGAAAUGAUGUGGACAAAACCUUGGGAACGUAGCCUGGCCUGGGUCGGAAGGAUCUGGCUAAUUCGAUUCUUCGAACACACCUGUUGUUGAGGAUUAGUAUGGCUGGAUUGAGUUAUCUGAGAUAAACGUGCGUUCAUGGGUUGGUUUAAAAGGGCAGAUGUAUCAAUACUUGAAACCACGAUCAGCAAUGCAGCGAUUGGCUGACGUCAACGCAGCAACAUAAUGACGACAUAAUUAAAAAUUCUAGACUUUUAUAAGGAAACAGCCAGUGACUAUGACAGCAACUCCAGGAUGAGCUUCGAAGAACGAACCAAUCCAAGAUCAUGCCAAAUCGUCAACCGUCAAAUCCAGCUAACUGAGUCAAUGACGUACAAAGAACGGGCCCCUGAUGCUAAUUUGCACUGCUCUUGGUAGAUUGUGUUCGUCAUUACGGGUUAUUCACUCCCCCCACCAACAAUUCCUGCCGGACCUGAGACUCAAACCCGCGACAGUUGGGUUACAAGUCUGACUCUCUAUCCAUUAAGCCACGACUGCCCCAGAUGGUAGAUUCUGGACUGCUGAGCAUUCAGUGUACCAGUAGGGUUGCCACCCGUCCCUUAAAAUACAGAAUCUUCCCAUAUUUAAAGGUAAAUUGAUGCGUCCCGUAUCCAAUCAAUACAAACUGCGGUCAAGACAGCUGCGGUUCAGAAAAACACAGUAAUAUGCACACAAACUAAUUUCAAUUGCGGCUGGCUUGACUAUGAUUACAGUAAUUGCAGGAACAACAGAGAGAAUGCGCUUUCAGAGCACUUUUCAUUUAGACGCUCAGAUUUGAGAGAUAAUAUAACAAAAUGCCUUUUUUUUUAAUUUUUUUUAUUAAUUUUAUUAUUUUAAUUUAUUUAUUGGUGUCUUGAACUGUUGUGUGUUACUAUAGUUUUCUACAUUUCAAAUCAUAGCAGGAUUCCUAGAAAAUUAGAUAUAGGACAUGAUUAUACUUUAGAGGGCUAUAAAGACCCCAUUUCUAAUAAGUAGAAAAAAAACAACGGUCAGUUCUUAUACGGGACGUCCCAUACUAUAUGCACACCUAAUAUGACACUGUUUUACUGCACCAUUUUUGAGAUGUGACACAUUAUUACAUUUUACAGGGCUAUAAAGAUACUGGGUUUCAUUCACUAAACAUGCGUACGGACACAUUUUUGCAUGAAAUGUGCGUACGGACGUUUUCACGAAUAAAUCAUGAUUCAUCAAAAAUUUUGUACUAAAAUUUAUUCUAAAUAUAUGAAAAAAUUCAAGAACAAUUUAUACCACACGUACGCAAUAAUCAUGUACGCCCGGGGCCUUAUAAGCAUGUAUAAAGAACCCUACAUAUAAUUAGAUAUGUUAUUUACAGGGUGGGUGAAAAGUAAUUAGACAUUAAAAUUGAUAAUAAAGUAUAAUUAGAGGUCCAAUUAUAUAAAUAGAUAUAAUUAGAGGUCCAAACAACCACCUGAUCUAUCCUUAUAUAAAUGGUGAUUAUUGUGUCUCACCUUGUGUUUGGAGGCAUGGCACACUUGGUAUUGCUUGAAGACAUUGCGGCGCAUGCUCUAAGGAGAGAGCGCAUCUUUAGAGAGCGCACAGAUGUGUUUGCUGAGAGUGACGAAUGGCUGUUCAGUCGCUUUAGGUUGCCCAGAGAAGUCCUUAUUGAUUUAUGCAACUCACUGGAACCACACCUAAGCCAUAUCACCAACCGCGCUCACCCUAUACCACCUACUCUCCAAGUUCUGUGUACUAUCGGAUUACUUGCUACGGGAACAUUUCAAAGGGACCGAGCCGGAAUUUCCCAACCCUCUAUAAGCCGCGCUAUUCACAAGGUGGUAAAAGCUAUUGUAGGUCUUAUGCCAACUUAUGUAAAAUUUCCUUAUGCCAUGGCACACCAGAUGGUAGUUAAGAGGGGGUUCUAUGAGAUCAGUGGCAUACCUAAUACCAUCGGUGCAACAGACUGUAUCCAUGUGUGUAUCAAAUCACCAUCCGCAAAUGCAAUAAACUAUGUGAACAGAAAAAAUUACCACUCCAUCAAUGUUCAAAUAGUCUGCGAUGCCAGCUGUAACAUACUAAAUGUUGUUGCACGCUGGCCCGGAGGAACUCACGAUUCCUUUAUUUUACAAAACAGUUAUUUAGGACAGCGCUUGCAAGCUGGGGGUGGUGAAGAGGGAUGGCUUCUUGGUAAGUAGAAGUGUGCCAAGAAUAUUUUUUAGAUCAUUUAAAUAAAGGUUCAUUAUCAUGAUGCUUGUUGUAGGUGACAGGGGUUAUGGUCUCAAAACAUGGCUCAUGACACCUCUAGCCAACCCAACGACCCCUCAGGAAGUGCAAUACAACCUGAAACAUGCCCGUGCGCGCUCAGCAGUAGAACGCACAAUCGGGUUACUCAAAUCCCGUUGGAUGUGCUUGGAUGCAGCUGGUGGAAUGCUGUUAUACAGGCCAGAGAAAAUCUGUCAGUUUGUUUUAGCAUGUUGUGUACUGCACAACAUCGCAAUGGCACGGGGUGUACCUGCUCCUUAUGGACCACACACACAGCCGGAACCUGUGGGUGACGAGAUGCACGCGCCAGCCCAAGCAGCGCUUCAAGCACGCCUUCAGUUGAUACAACGUUUAUAAUGGCCAGCUGCCACAUCCUUAACGGCAAGUAUGAGGGCAUCUUGACUAGCGAGCACCUCGUCGGUCAGGACUCGUGCGCCGGUGCGCCUCUGUGAAGGAGUAUAACGAGUGGAUUGGGAAGUAGAUGACUGGACUUCAGCUUCUUCAUUUCCAUCUGCUGUCUGUGGAUGUUCUGCAAAAGCUGGAAGUUUUGAGUUAUGAUGAUUACUUGAAUACAUUCCUUAAAACAAAGAUUUAGAUUUAAGCAAAUUACCGUGUUGUAAUUGCUCCUGUAUUAGGUCACUCUCACCCUCACUCCGUUCUAUAAUGCUGCUCAAGCUUGACUGUCCUAUAAUUACAUUUACAUUUACAUUUACAUUUAGUCAUUUAGCAGACGCUUUUAUCCAAAGCGACUUACAAUUGGGGAAUACAUAGAGCGAUUAAUCUUGAAGAGGCAAUCAGACAUACGAAGUACUUGCAACACCAAGUCUCAGGCAUUGUUCAAAUAAAUACAAACUACCAAAGGAAGGAAUAAGUAAAGAUAAUUUUUUUUUUUUUUUAAGUUUAGGAUGAAGUCAAGUGCUGUCGAAAGAGAUGAGUUUUCAGUUGUUGCUUGAAGAUUGACAGGGAUCCAGCAUUCCGGAUAGAGGUGGGAAGAUCGUUCCACCAGCCAGGAAUGGUGAAUGAGAAUGAUCUAGAGAGUGAUUUUGCGCCUCUCUGUGAUGGUAUCACGAGGCGUCGCUCACUAGCAGAUCUCAGAUUUCUGGAGGGGAUGUAGUUUGUUAAUAGAGAGUGCAAGUAAACGGGUGCUGAGCCAGUGGUUGUUCUAUAUGCAAGCAUCAGUGUCUUGAACUUGAUGCGAGCCGUGAUUGGUAGCCAGUGCAGGGAGAUAAAGAGAGGUGUAACAUGGGCUCUUUUGGGCUCGUUGAAGACCAGUCGUGCCGCUGCAUUCUGAAUCAUUUGUAGAGGUUUGACUGUAUUAGACGGAAGUCCAGCCAGAAGAGCAUUGCAAUAGUCCAGCCUAGAAAUGACAAGGGCCUGGACAAGAAGUUGUGCAGCAUGCUCUGUCAGAAAGGGCCUGAUCUUUCUGAUGUUAUAUAGU